rnacentral:rRNA from 1 species
GGAGGUAGUGACAAUAAAUCACAAUGCGGGACUAUUUAGUUUUGCAAUUGAAUUGAGAACAAUGUACAAGAGUUAUCGAUAAACAAUUGGAGGGCAAGUCUGGUGCCAGCAGCCGCGGUAAUUCCAGCUCCAAUAGCGUAUAUUAACGUUGUUGCAGUUAAAAAGCUCGUAGUUGAAGUGUGGGAUAAUGUAUAUUGGAUCUUUUUAGUGAAGAUAUAUGUUGUCCCCCCUCCAAUUUCGGUCUGUGGGUAUUAAUUUACUUGCAGUUCGUGUUGGUCAUUUACUGUGAGAAAAUUAGAGUGUUCAAAGCAGGCAUUUGCUUGAAUAUAUUAGCAUGGAAUAAUAUUAAAAGGCUUGUAUGGUCGAUUUAAUUGGUUUGUUCAUAUAAGCAAGAUUAAUAGGGACAGUUGGGGGUAUUCAUAUUCAAUAGUUAGAGGUGAAAUUCUCGGAUUUAUGGAAGAUGAACAAGUGCGAAAGCA